GUGGGGAAUAUUGGACAAUGGGCGAAAGCCUGAUCCAGCCAUGCCGCGUGUGUGAAGAAGGUCUUCGGAUUGUAAAGCACUUUAAGUUGGGAGGAAGGGCAGUAAGUUAAUACCUUGCUGUUUUGACGUUACCGACAGAAUAAGCACCGGCUAACUUCGUGCCAGCAGCCGCGGUAAUACGAAGGGUGCAAGCGUUAAUCGGAAUUACUGGGCGUAAAGCGCGCGUAGGUGGUUUUGUAAGUUGGAGGUGAAAUCCACGGGCUCAACCUGGGAACUGACUCCAAAACUGCAUGAAUAGAGUACGGUAGAGGGUAGUGGAAUUUCCUGUGUAGCGGUGAAAUGCGUAGAUAUAGGAAGGAACACCAGUGGCGAAGGCGACUACCUGGACUGAUACUGACACUGAGGUGCGAAAGCGUGGGGAGCAAACAGGAUUAGAAACCCUAGUAGUCC
rnacentral:rRNA from 1 species